GACGAACGCUGGCGGCGUGCUUAACACAUGCAAGUCGAACGGAAAGGCCCUGCUUUUGUGGGGUGCUCGAGUGGCGAACGGGUGAGUAACACGUGAGUAACCUGCCCUUGACUUUGGGAUAACUUCAGGAAACUGGGGCUAAUACCGGAUAGGAGCUCCUGCUGCAUGGUGGGGGUUGGAAAGUUUCGGCGGUUGGGGAUGGACUCGCGGCUUAUCAGCUUGUUGGUGGGGUAGUGGCUUACCAAGGCUUUGACGGGUAGCCGGCCUGAGAGGGUGACCGGCCACAUUGGGACUGAGAUACGGCCCAGACUCCUACGGGAGGCAGCAGGGGGGAAUAUGGCACAAUGGGCGGAAGCCUGAUGCAGCAACGCCGCGUGCGGGAGGACGGCCUUCGGGUGGUAAACCGCUUUCGCCUGUGACGAAGCGUGAGUGACGGUAAUGGGUAAAGAAGCACCGGCUAACUACGU
rnacentral:rRNA from 1 species